rnacentral:rRNA from 1 species
CUUACAAUGAAAAUAACCUUCGGGCACUCUUAUAAAGAUGUUGAAAUUAUAUGGGGUAAUAAGAUUUAUUAGUCGUACCUUUUGUGUCAGGGGAGUUUAAAAGUUUUUUAAGCGGGAAAUCGAAUCAGCUAGAUCUUUGUUAAAAAAGCAUAGUGAAAUUUAAGCUUUGUAUUAGUCAAGGGGUGAAAUGUGGCCGGUAGCUGAGAUAGCUAGUUGCUGUAUGACUAUGAGAGGUAAAGCUCUCAUAGUUCCACAAAAAAUACUUUUUUGUAAAACUAGGCUUUAAAUUAGCUAUGUUAGGAUAUUGUUUUUAAGAAUUUACCUGGGGAAUAUGAGGUGGAGUUUAUAGUGGCAGAAGUUAGCUAUAGUUUCUUAUAAUAAUGAAUUUAUUGAAUUAGUAGUGUAACUGUAAAAUAACUAAAACUACGUGGGAUUGUUUAGCAAAAACAUUUCUUUUUUUGUAAAAAGUAAAGCCUGCCCGGUGCUUGGUAAACGGCUGCGGUAAUCUAACCGUGCAAAGGUAGCAUAAUCAAUCGCUUCUUAAUUGGGGGCUGGAAUGAAAGGUAAAACCCCUGUAUUAAGUUUGUGAGUUGGUAAGUAUAUUUAAGUAAGGGUAAGAAUACCCUUAUCUCCUAGGGGACGAUAAGACCCUAGAAGCUUCAUUAAUGGUUGUUUAGUAGUGGUAGAUACAAGGAUUUUUUACUGGGGCGGUAGCGGUAAAUAAACUACUGUUUAUUGAGAGGUCCUCUUUAUAGAGAUAACGCGCGUAAGUUACUCUAGGGAUAACAGUACAAUAGUUUUGGAGAGACCUUAUCGAUAAAUAUGCUUGUAACCUCGAUGUU